rfam:Sphaeroforma arctica JP610 cont1.7623, whole genome shotgun sequence.
ACGGCGUUGGUCUAGUGGUACGAUUCUACCUUCGGGUGGUAGAGGUCCCAGGUUCGAUUCCUGGACGCCGCC